rnacentral:rRNA from 1 species
UACGGAGGGUGCAAGCGUUAUCCGGAUUCACUGGGUUUAAAGGGUGCGUAGGAGGGCAGGUAAGUCAGUGGUGAAAUCUCUGGGCUCAACCCGGAAACUGCCGUUGAUACUAUCUGUCUUGAAUACUGUGGAGGUGAGCGGAAUAUGUCAUGUAGCGGUGAAAUGCUUAGAUAUGACAUAGAACACCAAUUGCGAAGGCAGCUCACUACACAUAUAUUGACUCUGAGGCACGAAAGCGUGGGGAGCGAACAGG